rnacentral:tRNA from 1 species
GCCAAGAUAGCUCAGACGGCAGAGCAGCACACUCGUAAUGUGCAGGUCUGGGGUUCGAUUCCCCAUCUUGGCU